rnacentral:rRNA from 1 species
CCCUUAGAUGUUCUGGGCUGCACGCGUGCUACAAUGGUAUGCUCAGUAAGCUUCCAUUCCUGAAGAGGCUUGGAAAUCUUGAAAGCAUGUUGUGACUGGGCUUGAUGCUUGUAACUAUUCGUCACUAACGAGGAAUCCCUAGUAAAUGCGAGUCAUCAUCUCGCUUUGAUUACGUCCCUGCCCUUUGUACACACCGCCCGUCGCUCCUACCGAUUGAAUGUUCCGGUGAAUUCUAUGGAGAACGCUCUCUUAAUCUUCAAGAAAGUAUUCAAAGUUGAUUAAAUCUUAACAUUUAGAGGAAGGAGAANUCGUANCA